AGUCGAGGGGUAGGGCACUUCGGUGCUUGAGACCGGCGCACGGGUGCGUAACACGUAUGCAAUCUGCCUUCCACAGAGGGAUAGCCCAGAGAAAUUUGGAUUAAUACCUCAUAGCAUCAUGACCCGGCAUCGGGAUAUGAUUAAAGUCACAACGGUGGAAGAUGAGCAUGCGUCCCAUUAGCUAGUUGGUAAGGUAACGGCUUACCAAGGCUACGAUGGGUAGGGGUCCUGAGAGGGAGAUCCCCCACACUGGUACUGAGACACGGACCAGACUCCUACGGGAGGCAGCAGUGAGGAAUAUUGGUCAAUGGGCGCAAGCCUGAACCAGCCAUGCCGCGUGCAGGAUGACGGUCCUAUGGAUUGUAAACUGCUUUUGUACGGGAAGAAACCCUCCUACGUGUAGGAGCUUGACGGUACCGUAAGAAUAAGGAUCGGCUAACUCCGUGCCAGCAGCCGCGGUAAUACGGAGGAUCCAAGCGUUAUCCGGAAUCAUUGGGUUUAAAGGGUCUGUAGGCGGUCUUGUAAGUCAGUGGUGAAAGCCCAUCGCUCAACGGUGGAACGGCCAUUGAUACUGCUGGACUUGAAUUAUUGGGAAGCAACUAGAAUAUGUAGUGUAGCGGUGAAAUGCUUAGAGAUUACAUGGAAUACCAAUUGCGAAGGCAGGUUGCUACCAAUGGAUUGACGCUGAUGGACGAAAGCGUGGGUAGCGAACAGGAUUAGAUACCCUGGUAGUCCACGCCGUAAACGAUGGAUACUAGCUGUUGGGCGCAAGUUCAGUGGCUAAGCGAAAGUGAUAAGUAUCCCACCUGGGGAGUACGAACGCAAGUUUGAAACUCAAAGGAAUUGACGGGGGCCCGCACAAGCGGUGGAGCAUGUGGUUUAAUUCGAUGAUACGCGAGGAACCUUACCAAGGCUUAAAUGCAGACUGACCGGUUUGGAAACAGACCUUUCGCAAGACGGUCUACAAGGUGCUGCAUGGUUGUCGUCAGCU
rnacentral:rRNA from 1 species